AGAAGCAGAAAGGUAAGUGAUGAUAGAACUGCUUCCGCAUUUGACUGGAUUACAAAACAGACAGGGCUAAAUGUUGGAAAGGUACUUUCAAAUGUGAAUGAGUACGGGAAAUCUUCAGGUAUUUGGCCAAGGAAUGCAGUGUGGGAUUCUGCCAAGUUUAUCCCUCCUGCAUAUAAUGCGUUUUAUGUUCCAAAAUAACAAAGUGACUUUUGAUAUUUAAGAGUAAUUUUAAAAAACUUCUUACUUUUUCCAAUUUUUCUGAAAACAUAUGUCACCCCCCACACACACACCCAAAAAAAAGCCAGAACAAAAACUUUCCCCCCUGUGGCAUCAAAAUUUCCAGAAAUUUUACAUCUCUAGCAUCUACAUAUGUGAAUCUAGCAUCUACAUGUGUGUGAAUCUGGAGAACAUUAAUAAUUCUAAAUAUAAGAUUUAGAAAUUAGUUUUUAACUAAGUUCUUAGUUUUUAACAAAGCAUUAGGGGCCAACUUUUUAUUGUUGAAUCUUACUUAAUUGGAAGGUUGGUCACAUUUGGCAUUAUACAAAGUAUACUGAGUUGCCAGAAUCGCAUGCCUACUCAGAAGUAAGUUUCAUUGAGUUCAAAGGGACUUAUUCCCAGGUAAGUACAGUAUAGGAUUGCAGCCUACAUUGUUUCUUAAGGUCAGAACAGAACAAGAACUAAAGAGAACAGAAGUGCUGCCACUUAGUAUUCCUCUGUUUGCUCAGCCUCUCUUUAGGUACAAAUAAUCUAUAUUUGCCUGAGGCAUGAAGGAUUCUUGUAUUCUAAGGCAACCAUUUGUCUGACAGCUGAACAGAAGCACCAAUUACCAUUGUGCUCAACUGAAACGUGACAUGCUCAUUCAAACACUGCCUGAAGUUGUGAAAUCCUACACAUUCCAAUGUGAUGAGCGUAUAUUUUAAAGCAUCUAUGAUUUGCCAGCCCAUUCACUAACACACUAACUAAGUCAGACACAGAUAAACCCACAGGUAAUGGGUGAGGGAGUGGGCAAUUGCAGGGCAGAGGAGAGGGGUUCACUAAGGGCAUCUUGCCCAUCAAAACCUGGAGCCGAUGCUAUAAGCGUCCUGUAUCAGAUCCAUCUAGUUUAGCAUCCUGUUUGCACAGCAGCCAAGCAGAUGUUGAUGAGAAGCCCACCGUCAAAACAUGAGUUCAUCAGUAUGCAGACGAUACCCAACUCUACCUCUCUUUUAAAUCAGAACUGGUGAAGGCAGGGAAUGUCCUGUGUGAGUGUCUGGAGGCGGUUGUAGGAUGGAUGGCAGCUAACAGAUUGAGGUUGAAUCCUGACAAGAUAGAAGUACGGUUUGGGGGGGACAGGGAGCAGGCAGGUGUGGAGGACUCCCUGGUCCUGAAUGGGGUAACUGUGCACCUGAAUGACCAGGUGCGCAGCCUGGGAGUCAUUUUGGACUCACAGCUGUCCAUGGAGGCGCAGGUCAAUUCUGUGUGCAGGGCAGCUGUCUACCAGCUCCAUCUGGUACGCAGGCUGAGACCCUACCUGCCCACAGACUGUCUCACUAGAGUGGUGCAUGCUCUAGUUAUCUCCUGCUUGGACUACUGCAAUGCAUUCUGCUUGGGGCUAAGUUUGAAGGUGACCCGGAAACUACAAGUAAUCCAGAAUGCGGCAGCUAGACUGGUGACUGGGAGUGGCCGCUGAGACCACAUAACACCGGUCUUUAAAGACCUACAUUGGCUCCCAGUACGUUUCUGAGCACAAUUCAAAGUGUUGGUGCUGACCUUUAAAGCCCUAAAUGGCCUCGACCCAGUACCUGAAGGAGUGUCUCCACCCCCAUUAUUCUGCCUGGACACUGAGAUCCAGCGCUGAGGGCUUUCUGGCGGUACCCUCCCUGCGAGAAGUGAGGUUACGGGGAACCAGGCAGAAUGUCUUCUCGGUAGUGAUGUCUGCCCUGUGGAACUCCCUCCCAUCAGAUGUCAAGGAAAUAAACAACUAUCUGACUUUCAGAAGACAUUUGAAGGCAGCCCUGUUUAGGGAAGUUUUAAAUGCUUCUUAAUGUUUUAUCAUGUAUAUAAUAUUCUGUUGGUAGCUGCCCAGAGUAGCUGGAGAAACCCAGCCAGAUGGGUGGGGUAUAAAUAUGUUGUUGUUGUUGUUGCAAUUGAUAGCCUUAUCCUCCAUUAAUAUGUUCAAACCACUUUUAUAGCAAUACAAGUUGGUAGUCACACUGCUGUUAUUUUCCCCUCAAAAAUAACAAUAAAUCAGAAAUGGAGAGGGGGGAGAAGGAAAGGGGAGAUUUUAUAUUCAUAAAUACUUGAAAGCACAAUAGUAAACCAGCUGUGAUCUUAAUGGCUGUGGUCAUAUGCUAUGCUUUCAGGGUAAAGAAGAAACCGGAUUACUGCUGCUUUUGAAAUUCAGCUAAGCACCCUUUAGCAACACAACCAGUUAACACAAGCAAUACACAUAACAAGACUAGUGGAAAGCUACCACCCUGAGAGCCAACACAUUUCCCAUUUGUCUUUUUGCUGCUAUAGACCAAGGAGGCUACUUAUCUGGAUCUGUGAAGUGAUUCUGCAGAAUGGAAUUAGGGACAGAAUCUCAAAGGAUCUUCUCCCUUAUCUACUUAGGUAUUAUUAGCAUUCACUCUCAUUCAAUCUCCCUCCCUAAAAUUAUGUAGAUUUAUAUACAAAUAUAUUCAGUACAUUAAAAAAAAACCAACCACAUGCUAUAGAACAAUUCACACACAUAAAAAUGGAGAAAACCCAUUUCAGACUUCAAUUAAAUUUUUAAAAAUUGAGCCUACAUUUCAGUAUCCACUGUAAUUAUAAUCAGCUCUUUAUUCUGAAGAGAUAAAAAAGGAAACUGGAAGGCAGGAAGAGGGGGAAAUGUUAGAAGCCUUUUCACUGGGCUUUUAGGCAUUUAGUCAAUUUACAUUUUUAAUCAGGAGAAAAUUUAUGUAAUACUACAUAACCACUAAGGAUCCUUCGGGACAAAGAGCACAAAAGUGAUCAUUUCAAAAAAAUAAUAAUAAUCUGUUUAAAAAUAUUGCUUCAAAGUUUUCUUUUUUUCAGAGCGGGAGCAGUUGUUUAAAGUGAUCAUUUCAUGCUACUUGUUUGGGAUUAAGUACAAAGUCAAUUUAACAAAUCAUAUAUGGAAAUUUGGGGCAGCAAGGAAAUAUUUUCUUGUCAGCAGAACCAGGUGAGAAUAUAUAAUGGAUAAAAAUUAGCACUACUCCUAGCUCCUUGCCUCAAGGAGGGGUCUUAGAAGGCCAGGGGAAAAAAUGGCUUAGGGGCAGAUAGGCCCUCAGAUCUGAUGUUAGCUACCCCAUGCUACUUGAUUCUUCUAUUAAAUGGAUAUGCCUGGGAAUACAGCCUGUAGCUUUCUGAAUGCAAUGUAUGCACUCUGCCCCUGACCUAUGAUCCCACUCCAAAGCCCUUCUUUCCAGUAUCCCUUGCUCCUAAGAAAUGUUAUGGGUGGGGCAACAUACAAGGCUUUCUAAGUGUUCAAACCUGAGUGCCUUUGGCUCUGUAUACACCAUGCAUUAACGGUGCCUGGCUCUCCCCUGGGAAGAAGAAGAAGAGUUUGGAUUUGACAUCCCGUUUUAUCACUACCCGAAGCAGUCUCAAAGUGGCUAACAACCUCCUUUCCCUUCUUCCCUCACAACAAACACUCUGUGAGGUGAGUGAGACUGAGAAACUUCAGAGAAGUGUGACUAGCCCAAGGUCACCCAGCAGAUGCAUGAGGAGGAGCAGGGAAGCAAACCCGGUUCACCAGAUUUCGAGUCCACCACUCUUAACUACUAUACCACACUGCUUACUGGCAACUGUCACCGUAGAGCUACAAUUCCCAGCACACUUAAUAAACUACAGUUCCCAGGAUGAUUUGGGGGGUGUAAUCCAAGUUUAUGCACCAACUACUGGUGCUGAAGAAACUGAAAUUGACCAAUUCUAUGAAGACUUAAAACACCUUAUAGAAAUGACACCAAUGAAGGAUGUUCUUCUCAUUAUAGGGGAUUGGAAUGCUAAAGUAGGGAAUCAAGAGAUAAAAGGAACAACUGGCAAGUUUGGCCUUGGAGUUCAAAACGAAGCAGGGCAAAGGCUAAUAAGAGUUCUGCCAAGAGAACAAGCUGGUAAUCACAAACACUCUUUUUCAACAACACAAGAGACGACUCUACACAUGGACAUCACCAGAUGGGCAGCAUCGAAAUCAGAUUAAUUAUAUUUUCUGCAGCCAAAGAUGGAGAAGCUCUAUACAGUCAGCAAAAACAAGACCUGGAGCUGACUGUGGCUCAGAACAUCAGCUUCUUAUAGCAAAAUUCAAGCUUAAACAGAAGAAAGUAGGAAAAACCACUGGGCCGGUAAGAUACAAUCUAAAUCAAAUCCCUUAUGAAUACACAGUGGAAGUGAGGAACAGGUUUAAGGAUUUAGAUUUGGUGGACAGAGUGCCUGAAGAACUAUAGAUGGAGGCUCGUAACAUUAUACAGGAGGCAGCAACGAAAACCAUUCCAAAGAAAAGGAAAUGCAAGAAAGCAAAGUGGCUGUCCAAUGAGGCCUUACAAAUAGCGGGGGGAGAAAGCAAGCAAAAUGUGAGGGAGAUCAUGAAAGAUACAAGAAACUGAAUGCAGAUUUCAAAAAAAUAGCAAGGAGAUACAAGAAGGCCUUCUUAAACGAGCAAUGC
rnacentral:lncRNA from 1 species